GUCUACAGCCAUGCCACCCUGAACGCGCCUGAUCUCAUCUGAUCUGGGAAGCUAAGCAGGGUAAGGCCUGGUAAGUACUUGGGUGGGAGGAUCAGCCUUUGCGCUAUAGGAAUCCAAGUAGUCAAAACU
rnacentral:rRNA from 1 species